UCAGAAUUUCUUUAUUAAAAGUAUUAGUAACAGCUAAACGAGGCCACAUGUAAGGCUCUGACCCGAGAUGCUCAUUAGAUGAUGUAAGGUCCUCACUGUUACUGCUUUUGCUGGUGACUCAGCUGCUUCCCACGAGGAAGGAGGGGAGCUCUUCCGGCUGCGCCCGAGCAGGGGAUGAGGAAGGGCCCUCGAGGCUGUUUGUGGCCAUUCCCUGGAGGAAGGUGCUUCCUGCCCUAUUGGUGACUGACGCCUUGCAAAUGCUCCCGCAGCCUGAGAGGCGGAGGCAGCGUGAGGGACUCCUCUGAGCCUCCUCGUCAUCACGAUGAGAUGACGUGUAGGUUUCAGACGCGAGCGUUUGGGCGCUGCGAGCUCGUGGAAGGGUGAGCGGGGCAGCCCCGACUUCCACGGCUCCCCACGGCUCAGGGUGGACUCACUGGCUGUGUGCAUUGGCCAAACCCGGAGGAGCCCUGGGUGGUCGAGGACAGGCCCAUCCAUGCGUCCCCGGGGCCGGCUCAGGAAUCUCUUGCCCAAGCAAAUGGCUUGACCAUUCCUCACGGGAACUUCCAUGGAAGCGUCCACAGUCUCGCCCCGAGGGUCAGAGAUCCGUCUCUGAAAGGCCUGGUCCUGCUGGGCCAUUUAUGGACAAAUCCCAUGUGGUCUCUCAUCCUCACCGUCCCUGACCUGGGGACCAGGUCACACCUUCAUUCACACCUGGGGACCCGGUCCUCUGGCCAAAGGACUCAGCUGGACAGGCCGGGCCAGCCCACCUGUCACCCUUGGCCUCCUUCACAGACACACGCCUCCCGGGCUACGGUCUCAAGGGGUCUGCAGCCUCCUGCCCUGGACGGUGGGGAAGCUCCGGGGGCCAGGCUGGGGGCCCAGCCCGAGUCUGACUCGGGGUCUCCUCUCCUGGGCCUUCAGAGGCACCCCCUGCUGGCGCUCCGUCUUCCUGGUGACGGUGAGAGACUGUUGUCCAUGGCUGUGACCCCAGAGCCCCCAGAUCGAGGAAGGGCUGCUUCACAGCCUCCCUGAGGGUUUCUCAUGAAGCUCGUGGGCUGCAGCCCCUUCUCAGGCUGGUGGCCACAGGGCAGGUGUCCUGUAGGUGCCGGCGUGUCCCAUCCCCAAUAGCCUGCUCUCAGGAAGUUUCUCUUCCAUCAGGAGGACGUGCUGGCCCCACAGAGGUUGCCCAGGCUUCCUCCUCAUGGCUUCUCCUGAGGAAGCACCGCAUCUUCGUGCCAGAGGACGUCUGCCAGCUCCUCGUGUCUCCUGAGUCCCUGAGGGGAGGUGUGGGUCGGGCUGGGAUCCUUGGCGCCUGCCUGACGUGACCUGAUUCGCUGACACGUGUUCAGCUGUUACUCAGGUGGCCUUUCUUGCAAUGAUGAAAGCAUCUACACUGUCCUUCCUCUGUCUGUCUCUCCGUCCCUCUCUUUCUCUGUAUUUUCCCAAGUCUUGUGCCAUCAGGUAGCUAUUAGGAAAUCUGCUUGAGGAAAGCAGGCCCUUCUCAACUGUCAUGAGUUUUAUUUGGGUUACGUAACUUUUACUUGGGUCUUGGCCAAAGAUCGCUUUUAUUGGGAAUAAGUUAUUACCGCUAAGUAGUACUUUCCUAAUGCUUUUGGAUAUUUAAGAAUCUUUAUCAGAAGCAAACAGGACACCAGUAACUUUUGGUCCUUUCCAAAUAAAAGAACUUUGUCCAAUUG